CUACGUGCCAGCAGCCGCGGUAAUACGUAGGUGGCAAGCGUUAUCCGGAAUUAUUGGGCGUAAAGCGCGCGUAGGCGGUUUUUUAAGUCUGAUGUGAAAGCCCACGGCUCAACCGUGGAGGGUCAUUGGAAACUGGAAAACUUGAGUGCAGAAGAGGAAAGUGGAAUUCCAUGUGUAGCGGUGAAAUGCGCAGAGAUAUGGAGGAACACCAGUGGCGAAGGCGACUUUCUGGUCUGUAACUGACGCUGAUGUGCGAAAGCGUGGGGAUCAAACAGGAUUAGAUACCCUGGUAGUCCACGCCGUAAACGA
rnacentral:rRNA from 1 species